rnacentral:rRNA from 1 species
AGUGAACGCUGGCGGCAGGCCUAACACAUGCAAGUCGAACGGCAGCACAGUAAGAUCCUGCUCUUACGGGUGGCGAGUGGCGGAAGGGUGAGGAAUACAACGGAACCUACUUUUUCGUGGGGGAUAACGAAGGGAAACCUACUCCAAUACAGCAUACGACCUACGGGUGAAAGCAGGGGAUCUUCGGACCUUGCGCGAUUGAAUGAGCCGAUGUCGGAUUAGCUAGUGGGCGGGGUAAAGGCCCACCAAGGCGACGAGCCGUAGCUGGUCGGAGAGGAUGAUAAGCCACACUGGAGCUGGGACACGGUCAAGACUCCUAAGGGAGGCACCAGUGGGGAAUAUGGGACAGUGGGCGCAAGCCUGAUCCAGCCAUACCGCGUGGGUGAAGAAGGCCUUCGGGUUGUAAAGCCCUUUUGUUGGGAAAGAACAGCAGCAGGUUAAUACCCCGCUGUUCUGACGGUACCCAAAGAAUAAGCACCGGCUAACUUCGUG